UACGAAGGGGGCUAGCGUUGUUCGGAAUUACUGGGCGUAAAGCGCACGUAGGCGGACAUUUAAGUCAGGGGUGAAAUCCCAGAGCUCAACUCUGGAACUGCCUUUGAUACUGGGUGUCUUGAGUAUGGGAGAGGGUAGUGGAAUUCCCGGUGUAGCGGUGAAAUGCGUAGAUAUCGGGAGGAACAUCAGUGGCGAAGGCGGCUACCUGGCCCAAUACUGACACUCAGGUGCGACAGCGUGGGGAGCAAACAGG
rnacentral:rRNA from 1 species